rnacentral:rRNA from 1 species
GUCUACGGUCAUACCACCAUGAAUGCACCUGAUCUCAGAAGCUAAGCAGGGUCAGGCCUGGUUAAUUCUUGGAUAGGAGAAUCCUAUUUUACUGGGCAUUGUGGCAU